GUGUCAGCAGCCGCGGUAAGACGAAGGUGGCAAGCGUUGCUCGGAAUCACUGGGCAUAAAGCGCGCGUAGGUGGCUUGAUAAGUCGGUGGUGAAAUCCCAUGGCUCAACCAUGGAACUGCCGUCGAUACUGUCAGGCUUGAGGGCGGUAGGGGAGAGUGGAACUCCUGGUGUAGCGGUGAAAUGCGUAGAUAUCAGGAGGAACGCCGGUGGCGAAAGCGACUCUCUGGGCCGUUCCUGACACUAAAGCGCGAGAGCUAGGGGAGCAAACAGGAUUAGAUACCCUGGUAGUCC
rnacentral:rRNA from 1 species